UAAGCGACUAAGCGUACACGGUGGAUGCCCUGGCAGUCAGAGGCGAUGAAGGACGUGCUAAUCUGCGAUAAGCGUCGGUGAGGUGAUAUGAACCGUUAUAACCGGCGAUUUCCGAAUGGGGAAACCCAGUGUGUUUCGACACACUAUCAUUAACUGAAUCCAUAGGUUAAUGAGGCGAACCGGGGGAACUGAAACAUCUAAGUACCCCGAGGAAAAGAAAUCAACCGAGAUUCCCCAGUAGCGGCGAGCGAACGGGGAGGAGCCCAGAGCCUGAAUCAGUGUGUGUGUUAGUGGAAGCGUCUGGAAAGGCGCGCGAUACAGGGUGACAGCCCCGUACACAAAAAUGCACAUAUUGUGAGCUCGAUGAGUAGGGCGGGACACGUGGUAUCCUGUCUGAAUAUGGGGGGACCAUCCUCCAAGGCUAAAUACUCCUGACUGACCGAUAGUGAACCAGUACCGUGAGGGAAAGGCGAAAAGAACCCCGGCGAGGGGAGUGAAAAAGAACCUGAAACCGUGUACGUACAAGCAGUGGGAGCCUCUUAAUGGGGUGACUGCGUACCUUUUGUAUAAUGGGUCAGCGACUUAUAUUCUGUAGCAAGGUUAACCGAAUAGGGGAGCCGAAGGGAAACCGAGUCUUAACUGGGCGUUAAGUUGCAGGGUAUAGACCCGAAACCCGGUGAUCUAGCCAUGGGCAGGUUGAAGGUUGGGUAACACUAACUGGAGGACCGAACCGACUAAUGUUGAAAAAUUAGCGGAUGACUUGUGGCUGGGGGUGAAAGGCCAAUCAAACCGGGAGAUAGCUGGUUCUCCCCGAAAGCUAUUUAGGUAGCGCCUCGUGAAUUCAUCUCCGGGGGUAGAGCACUGUUUCGGCAAGGGGGUCAUCCCGACUUACCAACCCGAUGCAAACUGCGAAUACCGGAGAAUGUUAUCACGGGAGACACACGGCGGGUGCUAACGUCCGUCGUGAAGAGGGAAACAACCCAGACCGCCAGCUAAGGUCCCAAAGUCAUGGUUAAGUGGGAAACGAUGUGGGAAGGCCCAGACAGCCAGGAUGUUGGCUUAGAAGCAGCCAUCAUUUAAAGAAAGCGUAAUAGCUCACUGGUCGAGUCGGCCUGCGCGGAAGAUGUAACGGGGCUAAACCAUGCACCGAAGCUGCGGCAGCGACACUAUGUGUUGUUGGGUAGGGGAGCGUUCUGUAAGCCUGUGAAGGUGGCCUGUGAGGGUUGCUGGAGGUAUCAGAAGUGCGAAUGCUGACAUAAGUAACGAUAAAGCGGGUGAAAAGCCCGCUCGCCGGAAGACCAAGGGUUCCUGUCCAACGUUAAUCGGGCAGGGUGAGUCGACCCCUAAGGCGAGGCCGAAAGGCGUAGUCGAUGGGAAACAGGUUAAUAUUCCUGUACUUGGUGUUACUGCGAAGGGGGACGGAGAAGGCUAUGUUGGCCGGGCGACGGUUGUCCCGGUUUAAGCGUGUAGGCUGGUUUUCCAGGCAAAUCCGGAAAAUCAAGGCUGAGGCGUGAUGACGAGGCACUACGGUGCUGAAGCGACAAAUGCCCUGCUUCCAGGAAAAGCCUCUAAGCAUCAGGUAACAUCAAAUCGUACCCCAAACCGACACAGGUGGUCAGGUAGAGAAUACCAAGGCGCUUGAGAGAACUCGGGUGAAGGAACUAGGCAAAAUGGUGCCGUAACUUCGGGAGAAGGCACGCUGAUAUGUAGGUGAAGCGACUUGCUCGUGGAGCUGAAAUCAGUCGAAGAUACCAGCUGGCUGCAACUGUUUAUUAAAAACACAGCACUGUGCAAACACGAAAGUGGACGUAUACGGUGUGACGCCUGCCCGGUGCCGGAAGGUUAAUUGAUGGGGUUAGCGGUAACGCGAAGCUCUUGAUCGAAGCCCCGGUAAACGGCGGCCGUAACUAUAACGGUCCUAAGGUAGCGAAAUUCCUUGUCGGGUAAGUUCCGACCUGCACGAAUGGCGUAAUGAUGGCCAGGCUGUCUCCACCCGAGACUCAGUGAAAUUGAACUCGCUGUGAAGAUGCAGUGUACCCGCGGCAAGACGGAAAGACCCCGUGAACCUUUACUAUAGCUUGACACUGAACAUUGAGCCUUGAUGUGUAGGAUAGGUGGGAGGCUUUGAAGUGUGGACGCCAGUCUGCAUGGAGCCGACCUUGAAAUACCACCCUUUAAUGUUUGAUGUUCUAACGUGGGCCCCUUACCGGGGUUGCGGACAGUGUCUGGUGGGUAGUUUGACUGGGGCGGUCUCCUCCUAAAGAGUAACGGAGGAGCACGAAGGUUGGCUAAUCCUGGUCGGACAUCAGGAGGUUAGUGCAAUGGCAUAAGCCAGCUUGACUGCGAGCGUGACGGCGCGAGCAGGUGCGAAAGCAGGUCAUAGUGAUCCGGUGGUUCUGAAUGGAAGGGCCAUCGCUCAACGGAUAAAAGGUACUCCGGGGAUAACAGGCUGAUACCGCCCAAGAGUUCAUAUCGACGGCGGUGUUUGGCACCUCGAUGUCGGCUCAUCACAUCCUGGGGCUGAAGUAGGUCCCAAGGGUAUGGCUGUUCGCCAUUUAAAGUGGUACGCGAGCUGGGUUUAGAACGUCGUGAGACAGUUCGGUCCCUAUCUGCCGUGGGCGCUGGAGAACUGAGGGGGGCUGCUCCUAGUACGAGAGGACCGGAGUGGACGCAUCACUGGUGUUCGGGUUGUCAUGCCAAUGGCACUGCCCGGUAGCUAAAUGCGGAAGAGAUAAGUGCUGAAAGCAUCUAAGCACGAAACUUGCCCCGAGAUGAGUUCUCCCUGACUCCUUGAGAGUCCUGAAGGAACGUUGAAGACGACGACGUUGAUAGGCCGGGUGUGUAAGCGCAGCGAUGCGUUGAGCUAACCGGUACUAAUGAACCGUGAGGCUUAACCU
rnacentral:rRNA from 1 species